rnacentral:sRNA from 1 species
GCUGGGUGUGGUGGCGCACACCUGUAAUCCGAGCACUUCAGGAGGCUGAGUCAGGAGGAUAGCAAGUUCAAAGCCAGCCUCAGCAAUUUAGUGUGGCCCUAAGCAACUUAGCAAGUCCCUGUCUCAA